UACGUAGGGUGCAAGCGUUGUCCGGAAUUAUUGGGCGUAAAGAGCUCGUAGGCGGUCUGUCGCGUCGGAUGUGAAAAUCCAGGGCUCAACCCUGGACCUGCAUUCGAUACGGGCAGACUAGAGUUCGGCAGGGGAGACUGGAAUUCCUGGUGUAGCGGUGAAAUGCGCAGAUAUCAGGAGGAACACCGGUGGCGAAGGCGGUUCUCUGGGCAUGACCUGACGCUGGAGGAGCGAAAGCAUGGGGAGCGAACAGG
rnacentral:rRNA from 1 species